GCAAACUUGGUCAUUUAGAGGAAGUACAAGUCGUAACAAGGUUUCCGUAGGUGAACCUGCGGAAGGAUCAUUAACAAAAGAGUGGGGUUGGGGGAGUUUGAGCUUGAGUGAGUUUGAGCUUGCUUGAGUGAGAGCUUGAGUGAGUUUGAGCUUGCUUGAGUGAGAGCUUGAGUGAGUUUGAGCUUUGAGUGAGCUGCUCUCGUCUCGUCCCCCAAACGAACGAGCGCCCGUGAGGGUGUUCGGGGAAGGGAGAGGGGAGAAUCUUACCUUUGGGAAAGAUCCCUCUCUCACAUAGAUGUAGAGAGGGGGAAUCUUACCUUUGGGAAAGAUCCCUCUCUCACAUAGAUGUACAGAGUUUUGGUUUAUUCUAGAUGACAAAAGUAGAUAACUUUUAACAAUGGAUCUCUAGGCUCUUGCAUCGAUGAAGAACGCAGC
rnacentral:misc_RNA from 1 species